AUUGAACGCUGGCGGCGUGCCUUACACAUGCAAGUCGAACGUGAAAGUUCCUUCGGGGACGAGUAAAGUGGCGCAUGGGUGAGUAACGCGUGGAUAAUCUACCCGAAAGUACGGAAUAACAGUCGGAAACGAUUGCUAAUACCGAAUACGCAGUCCGUAUGCCUUACGGAUUGGAAAGAAGACCUCUGUAUAUGUUUUCGCUUUCGGAUGAGUCCGCGUACCAUUAGCUUGUUGGUGAGGUAAAAGCUCACCAAGGCAACGAUGGUUAACCGGUCUGAGAGGAUGAUCGGUCACACCGGAACUGGAACACGGUCCGGACUCCUACGGGAGGCAGCAGUGGGGAAUAUUGCGCAAUGGGCGAAAGCCUGACGCAGCGACGCCGCGUGAGGGACGAAGGUCUUCGGAUUGUAAACCUCUGUCAGCGGGGAAGAACGGUCACGGUGCCAAUCAGCCGUGAAUUGACGGUACCCGCAAAGGAAGGACCGGCUAACUCCGUGCCAGCAGCCGCGGUAAUACGGAGGGUCCGAGCGUUAAUCGGAAUUACUGGGCGUAAAGCGCUCGUAGGCGGACAUGCAAGUCAAGGGUGAAAUCCCCGCGCUCAACGUGGGAACUGCCUUUGAAACUGCCUGACUGGAGUAUGUGAGAGGACAGUGGAAUUCCCGGUGUAGGAGUGAAAUCCGUAGAUAUCGGGAGGAACAUCGGUGGCGAAGGCGACUGUCUGGCACAUAACUGACGCUGAGGAGCGAAAGCGUGGGUAGCAAACAGGAUUAGAUACCCUGGUAGUCCACGCCGUAAACGAUGGAUACUAGGUGCCGGGGAUUAUUUUUCGGUGCCACAGCCAACGCAUUAAGUAUCCCGCCUGGGGAGUACGGUCGCAAGGCUGAAACUCAAAGAAAUUGACGGGGGCCCGCACAAGCGGUGGAGUAUGUGGUUUAAUUCGAUGCAACGCGAAGAACCUUACCCAAUCUUGACAUCUGGGGGACCUAUAAGAAAUUACAGGGUGCUUUUCGGAGAACCCUAAGACAGGUGCUGCAUGGCUGUCGUCAGCUCGUGCCGUGAGGUGUUGGGUUAAGUCCCGCAACGAGCGCAACCCUUAUUUUUAGUUGCCAUCAAGUAAAGUUGGGCACUCUAAAGAGACCGCUUCGGUUAACGGAGAGGAAGGUGGGGACGACGUCAAGUCAUCAUGGCCCUUACGAUUGGGGCUACACACGUACUACAAUGGUGCAUACAAAUGGUUGCGAGACCGCGAGGUUGAGCCAAUCCCAACAAAUGCAUCUCAGUUCGGAUUGGAGUCUGCAACUCGACUCCAUGAAGUCGGAAUCGCUAGUAAUUCCGGAUCAGCAUGCCGGGGUGAAUGCGUUCCCGGGCCUUGUACACACCGCCCGUCACACCACGAAAGUCAGUUUUACCCGAAGCCGGCGGGCUAACUCAUCUGAGAAGCAUCCGUCUACGGUAGGUCCGAUGAUUGGGGUG
rnacentral:rRNA from 1 species